ACUGCAGGAAGUGCCGGUCACGAAGAAGGAAGUGUGAACAAGGUGCCCUGAAGCUGUCAGAGUGAUUUGCUGUGCAAUCAGGAAAAAAAAAGUUAGUGAGCCUUAUUGGUCUCAGGCUUGUCAGAUGAGAAAGGGGAAGAAGAUCACCCACUGCUUCUCUGCUGUUAAUGACAGAAGAAAAAAUAAUUGCCUCAAGCCCCUAGGAAAAUGAUAAUCAUGCGAAGGCUCUAUGAUGGGUUUCUGCGCAAUGUCCCCUCUUGGGACUCUCACGCUCAUUAAACUUAAGGCAGAGGCCCUCCCUCAGGGGAGCGACUUGGUAAACCAAGACAGUCAAGCCUGUGCCAGGAGCCCCAGAGGUGCCCAGAUCCCAUGAACCAACAGGAGCUCCAUCUCAGGGCAUCGUUCUCUACGUGUCCUGGACCACCCAUCACCGGCUUCCUGCUCUGCCCCUGGGACAACCGAAAACCAGGCGAUGCUCACAGGUCUCUGCAGAAAAGCCAGAUAAGAGCUCGGCCAGAAGGCGUCCCAGGAAGGAGAGACACAGAGGCCCACCAGGACUGAAAGCGCCCACAUCUGGAGCUGGUCAGAGGCAGCCAGUGCCACGGGGAGGGAAAGGCACUGCCAGGGGUCCCCGGGAGCUGGACUCAGCAGGCGUUGGUAGCUGCUCCUCCACAGGUGAGUGUGCUCACAGAUGAUCCCACCUCUUCUCCUGCUCCCUUUCUCUCCACUUAAAUGCAAGCCCCCCCUUAGAAUCAAUCGCAAGCCCUGAAUGCACAUCAUCCUCGGUUGACAGUAAGGUGAGCUUCCAGUGAACCUAGUGUAAGUUAAAAAUAUCAUUAAACCAGAAGUACAUUUAGGAGAGCUCCCCUUGUGGCUCAGCAGUAAGGAACCCGACUAGUAUCUCUAAGCAUGGGGGUUCAAUACCUGGCCUCGCUCAGGAGGUUAGGGAUCCAGCGUUGCCUGUGAUCUGUGUUGUAGGUCUCAGACAAGGCUCGGAUCCUGCAUUGCCAUAGCUGUGGCGCAGGCCGGCAGCUACAGCUCCAAUUCAACCCUAGCUCAGGAACGUCCAUAUGCUGCUGGUGAGGCCCUAGAAAGACAAAAAA
ensembl:lncRNA